UAUGUUACACCUCGGAAACCAGUGCAACUCCAAUCUUGUCAUGGCCCAAAGAGCCAGGUCGUGACAAUAUGGAAAAGACUUUUGCAUAUAGAAGACAUGAGGUUGUGCGUGAUGCACCGAUGGUAGAUUAUUUCAUGGCAAGAUGGCCUGCUUUGUUCGAAGUCAGUGAGGUAAGGCUGAUCUCAUGCUGUUUUUGUUUUUUUUGUACUGUCAAAUUGCUAUUAUACAUAAUAGUACAUCAUGUUAUGUCUAUGCCUCAUCUUACUCUAUUGUCCUGCUUUUGCUUUUGUGUGAUGGUGACAGUUCUGUGCUUUUUUUAGAUCAACGCUGAAUUCAGAGAAUUCCCACCGUUCCCCUUCAGUCCAGUCUCAGCUAGACCUCCACUCUGACAAUCUGACAAGGCUGUUCCAAAAGAGGGGAGGAAAUCUAGGGGAAAAGCUCAAAACAGUCACUGCACAAGUUGCUAAUUGUGAUGAUGUGGAUCAUUAAAGGACUCUGUGUCUACAUGGGCGAAGAUCCAGUUAACCUUCUACAUGAAUAUGUGAGCCUGGGUAACCACACCAUCAAUGAGGCCAUUGAAGACACCACUGUUAGGAUGUUCUUUGACAACAAAGAUCCCUCCAGUGAUGAAGUAGAGGACAUUGGUAUUGUUCUUGAACCUCAACUACCUUCAUGUAAGAACCAUUAUUGUCCUUGCAAAUGUAGAUCUUGUGCUUAAACUAAAUUUGGUUUUGAAAAUAAAGUAAUACAAUUAAGUAA